AUUUUCAUCUAAAUCCAUGGCGUCCAUAAAUUUCAUGGGCAAUUUUUGCCUCCUGAUUUCCGCUUCACUCCCCACCGGUCGAUGAACGCGGACAUUAACUGGAUGACAAAGUUGUAUAAUCGGCCACGACACCCAACUCUCCACCAAACAAUCCGUCUCUGUUCCGAAGAAAAGAAAAAGAAGAAUGGCUUCAGCAACUGAUGAAGAGACCUCUCCUAAAAGACAAUGUAUGGAAACCUCUUCCUCUUCCUCAGCUUUGGUAGUCUCGGAGGCACAAUCAUGCUUAGCCGGAGGAGUUAGGGUGGCGACACAGCAGAUUCAUGGAUUGCUCCUUUUUGAUCUGUCAAAUAUUCAAUGAUAAAAUUAUGGGGUACUCCAUUAAAAAUUAGUAUUUAAUCAUACAGUAAUCACUGCUUCUAAUGGAAUUUCCUUAACACAUAAAACGGUGCGUUUUAUCUAAAGGAGGCCGCUUUCUCCUUCACCCAACCCUAGUUCUCUGGCUGUUCUUUUCCAAAAAAAUCUCAGUAGAACCCUUUUCUUUACUUUCCGUGAAGAAAUUUUUGCUUGGGAUAUAGAGAGGAGGAAUGGAUAUGGGAGGAGAAAUUGAAGAAGAAGAGAUGUCUUCUAGGCGCAUUCAAGUGCGCUUUGUCACGAAACUGAAAGAUCCCUACAAAGUUCCCAAUGCUUCCAUCUCAAUUCCCACAAACCUCACCCGCUAUGGACUAUCUAUCGUCGUGAACAAUCUCCUCCAAUCCGGGAAUUCUGAUUGGCAAUCCGAGCCUUUUGACUUUCUGAUUGAUGGCGAGCUGGUUCGAAUGUCUCUGGAGAAAUUCUUAUCUGCCAAGGGAAUUUCCUUGGAGAAGAUAUUGGAAAUUGAGUAUGUACAAGCUGUGGCCCCAAGGAAAGAGGAAGAGCCUUCUUUCCAUGAUGACUGGGUCAGUGCGGUAGAUGGUUCUAGUUCACGGUUCAUUUUGACAGGGUCCUAUGACUGUUUAGGGAGGGUGUGGAAAAGUGCUGGAUUGUGUGGCCAUGUGUUAGAAGGACACAGUAAUGCUGUUACCGCUGUUAGUAUCACAACACCGGAAGAUGUUGAAGCAGUUACUGUAGCCACUGCUUCAAAAGAUCGGUCCCUGAGACUCUGGAAGUUCAAUACAGGGGAUCCCCAAGAUUAUCCUAUGAAGAUGCAUGCGUUCAAAAUUUUGCGUGACCAUAGGGCAUCUGUACAGAGUGUUGCAGCAAAUGCUUCUGGCAACAUGGUUUGUUCUGGUUCCUGGGAUUGUACAAUAAAUCUAUGGAGUACGGACGAAUCUAACACAGAAGGUGCUCAAGUGUCAAUUAAGAAGAGAAAAGUGAAAGAUCAAGUUGAGGAAUCACAAUCGGAGGGGGAGGCUGUUUCCACAUUUCUCGGGCAUACACAAUGUGUAUCUUCUGUGAUUUGGCCAGAGCAUGAAACAGUAUAUUCUGCAUCAUGGGAUCAUUCUGUCAGAAGAUGGGAUGUUGAGACAGGCAAAGAUAUAACAAACAUGUUCUGUGGGAAAGCUCUCAACUGUCUAGAUGCUGGAGGUGAAGGUUCUGCAUUAAUUGCUGCUGGUGCCUCAGACCCAAUCCUUAGAAUAUGGGAUCCUCGUAAACCAGGAACUUCUGCUCCAGUGUUUCAGUUCUCAUCUCACACUUCCUGGAUCUCGGCUUGCAAGUGGCAUGUGAGAUCAUGGUUUCAUUUACUUUCUGCCUCCUAUGAUGGAAAAGUAAUGUUAUGGGAUCUAAGAACUGCGUGGCCUCUUGCAAUCAUGGACUCUCACAAGGACAAGGUACUUUGUGCUGACUGGUGGAAAGGUGACAGCAUUAUAAGUGGCGGGGCAGACUCGAACCUUCGCAUUUCUUCUAACAUUCCUGUACAAUGAGAAAUCAUAACCAAGUUAAUUGAGUGCUGGUAUCCCUUGCUGUAUGAAUAGUGGAAGUUGUAUUGCACCUAUACACAAUGGGUUAGUAAUGAAGCUUGGACCUUUUGAUUGGGAUGGGAUUGCACGAAUAUUAUUUCUACUGGAGCAGUAAGUUUAAUUGUCCUUCUCAAAGAUCCUGAAACACAGAAACAAAGUAGCAUCAUCCAAGUCAAGAUCCUCAAAUACAACAAACCCUUCUCCUUACUUUCUUCAGCAUUUCUCUCAUAAAAUACUUACAACUUUCAAGUCAUCAAAUUCCAAAUUGAGAUGAAGUCAAGACUUUUAUUUUGAUUUCCUUGUGCAAGAAUAAACGGGACAUUGCCACCUUUGAUGUUAUAUUGAUGUGACUGGGUGUAUAUAUAUAUAUUUCAUGCAAGAGGUAGACAAGUGUCUUUUUUAAUAGAGGAAGGGGAUGUUGGGAAGCUCGAAUUCGAGAACUCUAUGAGAUAUUACACACAUAAGUGUCAUCUGAGUUAUU